rnacentral:lncRNA from 1 species
UUAAGUUCAAAACCAAAUCAAAUGAUCAAAACAAAACUCAAUCUUCCACAUAAUGCACAUUCAAACAUGUCAAAAAAUUUCCUCAAAAGGACUAGCAUCAAUUCAAAAAGCAAAGGCGUCAAAUGGCUCAUGCUAUGCAAAGACCAACAAAUGAGCACAAAAUGGACAUCCAAAUUAGAAAAUCCAAAUCAAAUCAGAAAUGUAUGCAAUGGCUUUGAAAUUUUUUAUGCGAGUUUCUCAUGUCAUGAAC